UAAAAUCCGUCGACUUUAUAAGUCGUGAGGGUUCAAGUCCCUCUAUCCCCA
rnacentral:tRNA from 13 species